ensembl:lncRNA
GCAAAAUCAUACUUUUAUUGAUGUAUCAAAAAAAGGUUCUGAACCAGCAACAUACAGGGAAGUGCAUGGUGUCAAACAAAACAUAUCACUUGGUUCAAGAAUACAUGUUGCGUAGUAUAACACUGUAUAAAUUUACCUGUGCACAUACACAAAAAAAAAACCUAGCAUCUCAUUUUAUGAGGUAAAUUCUUUAUUUCAAAUUCAGAUACAGCACAAGUUCAAAGGCUAAUGUAGCUGCCUGGUAACAGUUAACUAGUGUUGGCACAUAAAGAUUAAAUGUUUAGCUUAAUUUGCAGAAAAGUGGAAAAGCCUACAAGUGUUUUUGUUUGGGUUUUUUUGUCUGUAUUCAGUUGCUUUAGUGUCAAUCUGUAGUGAAGAGAUUCAGUGGCUGAGGCUGCGACAGCCUGGCUGUUGGAGGUGGUAGGAGUGGUGUUGGACUCCUUGGCGAACACGGUUCUGGCGUUGAAUAGCGUUGCGGGACACAUGGUGCCGCUCUGCCAAAACCUUAGCCUGUGUCAUCUUGGCUAUAGCUUUGGGCUUGGAAAAAGAGCUGAACACGGACUGAGCACUGGUCCCGGUACUCCCGCUUUGUGCUGCGGGCUCUGCAUCUGCAAUGCUGACCAGACACAUAAAAUAGAUAAAAUAAACGGACAAUAACACGCUAUACAGUUACAGUGGUAGAUGCUCACAUUAAACACCGCCAGUUUAAAAUACUACUAAUUUAAAUGCUUGCUUUUAGAUUUUAUCACGUUUUGAAUCCCUUAAUAAGUUGGCAUCAUUAUAUUUUGCUGAUCUCGUCACUGAGGUCUGCUCUUCGGCUUUCAAACCAGAGUGAGAGCUUAGGUAUUUAGGCUUUUGUAUUUUUGUGAUUCUUUGGAUCUCUUUACUAAUGUGUGUGGGCAUGGGUGUGUGUGUGUGAGUAUGCUGUAUCUCUUAUUUUAUUGUCCCGUUUCAUGUGCACCACUUUGGUCAUCUUUGUUGUUUUAAAUGUGCUUUAUAAAAAAAAUGGACUGGACUUCUUUCAGUUUCCUCUGAAUCUCUGUACGUCAGUGACAGCAGAUAUUCAUAAUAUGGUCAUCUCAGACACAAAACUCUGGCUAUCAGCACAGAUGCCCCACCUACAGACUAUUCAAAACUUUGUUUACACAGGGUUCGUACGCUUUUUUCAGGGUCAAAUUCAAGCACUUUUUAAGCACUUUCAAGAUCCGUUUUUAAGCUUUUCC